UUCGUUAACGAACGAGACCUUAACUUACUAAAUACGUUUAAACCAAAAAUUUUUGAUUGUGGUUAUAAACUUCUUAGAGGGACUAUCAACGUAUAUAUUUUGUAGUUGAUGGAAGUUUGAGGCAAAAACAGGUCUGUGAUGCCCUUAGAUGUCUGGAGCCGCACACGUGCUACACUGAUAAAGUCAUCGAGUUAUCAAAAUUUUAUUUUGCUAGUGUUCUUUUUAGGAUAUCUAGUUUCAAAAAUAAAAUUCACCUUGGCUGAAGAGCUUGGGUAAUCUUUUGAAACUUUAUCGUGAUGGGGAUUGAUCAUUGCAAUUAUUGGUCAUCAACGAGGAAUUCCUAGUAAGCAUAAGUCAUCAACUUGUGCUGACUUCGUCCCUGCCCUUUGUACACACCGCCCGUCGCUAAUACCGAUUGAAUGGCUA
rnacentral:rRNA from 1 species